rnacentral:rRNA from 1 species
CGGGGUGAGUAAUGUAUGGGGAUCUGCCUGAUGGGGGGGGAUAACUACUGGAAACGGUAGCUAAUACCGCAUAAUGUCUGCGGACCAAAGCGGGGGACCUCCGGGCCUCGCGCCAUCAGAUGAACCCAUAUGGGAUUAGCUAGUAGGUAAGGUAACGGCUUACCUAGGCGACGAUCCCUAGCUGGUCUGAGAGGAUGAUCAGCCACACUGGGACUGAGACACGGCCCAG